GGAUUCACCAAAUGUUUUCUUCUAAACGUUUACACUACAAGAUGUUGAAGCUUCAUUUCCUGGAACCAGAGUCUGGAUGAAAGCCAACUUAAAUGUGCUCCCCCGGGGAGAGGGGCUUGAAGCUAUGAGCUCCCGACUCAGGUUUCCGGUGGAUGAAUAUUCAACCCACAGACUUGGAAGCUGAGGUCAUGGAUUACUUUCUCAUGUCUACCAAAUGUCAAGUCACUCUAUGCUCCUCGUCGAAAUUAUCUUACAUCAGCACAACAAAUGGCUUUUAUCCCAUUUAGCAGAGGUGAAAAACAUCCGACUCACUCAGAAAGACUUCUAAUCAGUUAUGAAAAACUGCUAUUAAUAUCUCCGCAUUUAGAUGAUGUUAGCGACGAAAGUGCCGAGAGAGGCUGUGGAGUUGCAGUCUAGGGGUCAAACAGAGAAACAGCCCAGGAGACCGGAGACCAGAGUCCGGAGUCAUUAAUUGGGAAGAGAAAGCCCAGCAAACGUGAUACCUGCUUCAUGGAGUUUCUGAUCAGCCUGGGAGCAGAACUUAAGCUCACUGAGAAAUGUCUUAAUAUAAAGGAACUAAAUCAACAGCGUUGUCCCUUUCUGGCUUCCCUGAGGGUUUUGAAGAUGAGUUUGGAAACAGAAAUCUUUAGGACAGAGUGAGUAGAACAGAACCUGAGAUUCAUCAGAUGCAGUCUUCCGCAUAUCAGCAGGGUGGGUCAAAAGCUUCCAUUCCGGAAAGGGGUGGCCCCUCUGCCAUCUCACCUUCAUGCGCGUUGGGCACCUCUUUCUCCUGGAGCCCUGGGAGGUCUUUUGCCCUGUGUGAUCGAUGGAUCACACUGCCCACUGUUGAGCUCUGCCAUGCCGGGAGGACUUGAAGCAUCUGCCCAGAAACUCUCCCAAACAGGAAGAACGCCGAACGCCAAAUGCUGACCCAUGGGGGAGAACAGAAACAAUUGGGGCUCAUUUAUGGAAUCGAGAAGCUGGGAACACCAAAAAUUGGCAGCAGGAGAGAAACAGAGACCCCACUAGGGACCACACAGGCACUGAGCUGCCUCAGUUCCCUAAGCAAGGGAACUAGAAAGAGCAGGGUGCCUCGUACCGGCAGCUAUGCACUGGAGUGGGGCUGAACAGAGGUGCACAGAGACCCUCAACCACAGCUCAUGGGGCCAAGGGGCUUUGGAGUGAGAGGCGAAGGUUCUGGAUGCUUGCCUCACUUAAAGGUUACUGGGGCUCUCCUGAGCGGGAUACAUCAGCCUGUUAGGACUCCGUAGAAUGAGCGUUUUCUGUAGAUUUUUUUUACAUGGUGGUGCAAUAAUUAUCAUCUCAUCCCAUCUUUUAACAAGUGUUCGUAUCCUCCAUGAUUAUUCUUCCUCAUUCUAACCUUGCUCUGACCUUUUUAUUCUUGGAGAGUUUCUGUCUUCCUUAUUCAGUAUGUCCCAAAGCCUCUAAAAGAGUCAUCACCCACCCUGUUAUGCAGAUGCGUUCUGAUUCUCCGAUUUGAACAGGCUCUGGACCACAGUUGCUUUACCAGGCCUGCCAUGGACAGUCACUGUCACAGCAGACAGAGGAGGCUUGGAACUAGUGUUGCAGCCGAGGAAUCACUGAGUGUGAGGAAAUGACAUCACCACAAAUCUUCUACACAAGCUGGAAGCUGUAAUCCUCCAUGCACAGGCUGCCAGAGUGUUCCACACCAGUGGAUGUGUGAUGAUCAGAGCAGAUUUAUUAUCACUCUGAUUUCUUUCAACUUAGUGUUUCCAUUUACUUUCCACUAAAAUCUUUAACAGAAAUGCCUUGGAUUAUUUUCAGAAGUAUUUCCAGGUCUAAGUUUUUUGGAAUUGUAGAGUCAAAGUGUCUCAGACAAGGACUUUCCACACGAUGCCAUAAAACAAAGGGGGUGAGGAGCUUUCUAGAAGAUGGAAAGAUCACUUCAGGCCAUGAUUGAGACACCUAGUUUUGUCCAUCCAGAAGAAAAGGUCCAAUAAAGGAAUAAAAAUCUAUACUCCACUCAGAAGACACUAUAUUAUUUUCUUACUCAAAAUUACUACUCUGGAAUAUGCAAAGCUAUCUUCUAUGAUACUAUUUCCUUUGAUUCAAUUUCAUUGAU